UAAGCUCAUUCACUUCUUUUCUUUCUCUUUCUUCUUCUCCAUUCUUUUCUCUUCCUCCUCUCCGUUCUUCACCUGCUGGUGAAUCAAGUUAUUGAAAUAAAGAGAUUUCUAGAUCGAGAGAGAAAUGGGGGUGUUUGAGUAUUGGUUGUUGUAGGUGGUGCUGUUACUGGUUAGCUCUGGGAAGAAGAGGAGAUGUUGAUGUUGCUGUAAAUUAGAAUUAGGGUUUUCUCAGAAGGUUGUUUAGAAGUUCGAUUAGUGAUGAAUGAGAUGGAAUUGAGAUGGGUUUAUGUUUAAUUGAAUGAUAUGAAGUUUUUGUGAUGAAGAAUCAGUGAGAUAAGGUUUUCUGAAUUGGAUUAUCUUCUGAGUUGUGUAAGACGAGGAUGAUAUUGAGUUGUAACAACUGAAGAUUAUGAGGGUUGUUGAUUAAUUAAUGUUUUGGAGUGGUUCUGAUGAAGAACUGAAGAGUUAGGUUUCCUGUUGGUAAGAAUUAGGAAAUUGGGAUUUGUUUUAAUGAUGAUUAAGAAGGAAUUGAAGUUGGGUUUUACCUGAAUUAGAACUUGAAGUUGAAGAAUAAGUUGUAAUUGAAGUUAGGGUUUUGAAGUUGUUUAUGAAGCUAGGGCUUGAUUAUGUGUUAAUAAGGAAAUGAUGGAGUUAUCUCUGGUGAUGAAGAAAUUCUCAGCGGUGUUGAUUCAAGAGUUGAGUUCAAACAGCUGGGAGAAAAGUGAGAAGAAUUGGAGUUAGCCGUGGUUGUAAUUGGAGCUCAGGAGAUGGAGUAAAGUUGCCGCUGUUGGUGUUGAUUGAACUGAACCGGUGGGUUUGUUGUUGUCUUAAGAUGACAUGUUGAAUCAAGUCAGGCAAGAAAGGGAGUUUCUCAAUUUAUUGGAGUGAAAUCAUUCUAAGAGUAUUGUUAAAGGUUGGAUUGAUGUAUGAAUUGAACUCUAGAGCUGAGUUAACUGUGGUGGUGCUGUAAGGUGCAAGGGAAUGUGUGGGUGAUUGUAUAUAAUUAUGAGUUGUAGUGGUGCUGUUGAAGUUGCAGGGGAUAUGAAUGUGCAAGUGGAGUUUAAAUACAAUUGGAGUCUGUUGAUAAAGGAAUGGUGAUAGUUGUGUUAAGCUGCAGAUGUAGAUCUUUGAAUUGGGAUUUAUGAAUGGUGAUUACAUUGUUGGAAUUGAGAUGUUGCAGAGGUUAUGGUCUGGUGAAGUACAAGGUUCUGAGAAAGGAUAAUGAAACUGAGAAGUAAAGAAAGGUUGAAUUGAUAGUUCUAGAAAUGCAGUGGCAGUUUCGCUAUGCUGAAUUGUUUGAGUUAAUUGAAUUGGUAAUGGUUCUAGUUGAAUUGGGAUUUGAAGUGAUAGACUGGAAGAUAUAGUUGUAACUUAGUUAUAUCUAGAAUUGCAGAGAAUUGAUGUUUGGGGAAUCUGGUGAUGAUUUAGUUUAGUGGAUUGUGAAAUCUUGGAACUGCAAUUGCAGGUAACCAGUGUUUGUAAUUGUAUUUGAGUUUCAACGUUUGCUUAUGAAUUAUUUUUGAAUGAUUAAGAAUAGAUUGUAGUUUAAAAUGGAGUUGGAAUUGAACUAU